GCAUAUCAGUAAGCGGAGGAAAAGAAACUAACAAGGAUUCCCCAAGUAGCGGCGAGCGAACAGGGAAGAGCUCAUCACUAAAUCUCGUGCUCUGUUAAAGGGUACCGAGAAAUGUAGUGUUUGGGAAGACCGCGAGCGUCUGUCCGACUCGAUUCAAGUCUCCAUGAACGGGGCGAGCAACCCAUAGAGGGUGUCAGGCCCGUAGAUUAUAAAUCGGUCGAGACCGUGCUAUGGUUCAUUUCCUAAGAGUCGGGUUGCUUGAGCGUGCAGCCCUAAGCGGGAGGUAAACUCCUUCUAAAGCUAAAUAUCGCCACGAGACCGAUAGCGAACAAGUACCGCGAGGGAAAGUUGAAAAGAACUUUGAAGAGAG
rnacentral:rRNA from 1 species